CGUCACACGUUCUCCCGGAAGUACGUCGUGUGCAGCCAGCAAGCCACGAGGAGAGGGUGAAUUUAUGAAGGAGUUGUGUCUAUAUAUUAUAUAAAACCUACUAUUGGUUGAAGAUCAACACAAACCAAGUGAAGAUGUUGCAGAUUCUACAAACAAUAAAAAAGAAGAUCAAGUUUUGUGUCCAACACACUUGGAUGAGACGUGCCUGACUUUGUCUACCCUACAUUAAGUUGUGAUGGCACACAUCAUGACAGUAAACAUCGGUAUCAAGAUGGUGUGAUUGAUCUAUACCCUAGAAUAAGCUGUGACACUGAUGCUGUGGUCACAUAAUGAACAGCCAUCUUACAGACAACCGAAAGAGGCAUAGUAUUGUUUUCUUGUGUAUUGUCAUACACCUAAAGCGGAUUUUUUGUAAUCGUACAGUUAUGGUGUUAUUCAUUCAUUAAUGUGUCCUUUCUUACCUUAAAUAACUUAUCAUUUUUUACACCUUUUGUUUUUAUUGUCUAUAUAGUAUUGUCUACAAUCCCAAAUUCUGGAUUGACGAUCCAGUACCAGUGGGCACCCCAAUCCCAGAGAGCAUCCAUCUGAAACCAGGUGAGGUAACACAACGAAAAAAUUACCGGAUGGAGACUACCUGAUUCUUCACCUAUGGCCUCAGCUUCAAAUGCAAGAAGUCCAGAAACUGUCUUGAGUUGGUGGAUAUUCUGUCAGAGACUGCGUGAACAACGUUAUGAACAGAUGCUGUGAAGAGGUGGAGCCCAAAUGCCACAGACUCGGAAAUAGAUGCAGCUAUGGCAGACCAUCUCAAGCACGCUCCAGGAAGAGCUGGGGGUGGUGGAUACAAAAAAGCCUAACAGCUGUAAUGUGUUAAAGAGAGAGUUCACCAAAAAAGGAAAAUUGUUAUAAUUUUCUUAUCCACAUGUUUCAAACCUGUAUACCUUUAUAUUUUCUGCUGAACACAAAGAUUGAAGAAUGUUUGUAACUUCACAACCCAUUAACUGUCAAUAUAUUUUUUUUACAAUUGUAGUAAUGGGUUGUGAGAUCUGCUUUGUUAAAAACAUUCUUUCAAAUAUCUUUGUGUUCAGCAGAACAUAGAAAGGUAUACAGGUUUGAAACAUGAGAGGGAAUAAAUGACUAAAUAUUAAUUUUUGGGUGAACUAUCCCUUUAUAGAAAGUGUUUUGAAAUUGUUAUUAUAGUUAAAUGGUUAAAAAAUAAAAAGU